AGCACGCCGCGGUAAUUCCAGCUCCAAUAGCGUAUAUUAAAGUUGUUGCAGUUAAAAAGGCUCGUAGUUGAAUUUCGGGAUCAAUGCGUCGGUCGUGCUUUCGGGUACGUACUGGUGUCAUUGGUUUCUCCUUUCUGACGAGCCGUGAUGUCAUUAAUUUGGUGUUACGGGUAGUUAGGACUGUUACUUUGAAAAAAUUAGAGUGUUUAAAGCAGGCAUUAGCUUGAAUACAUUAGCAUGGAAUAAUGAAAUAGGACGUUCGAUCCUAUUUUGUUGGUUUCUAGGAUCAACGUAAUGAUUAAUAGGGAUAGUUGGGGGCAUUAGUAUUCAAUUGUCAGGAGGUGAAAUUCUUGGAUUUAUUGAAGACUAACUACNGCGAAAGCAUUUGCCAAGGAUGUUUUCAUUAAUCAAGAACGAAAUGUUAGGGGAUCGAAGACGAUCAGAUACCGUCGUAGUCUUAACCAUAAACUAUGCCGACUAGGGAUCGGA
rnacentral:rRNA from 1 species